rnacentral:misc_RNA from 1 species
GAUGAAGAACGUAGUGAAAUGCGAUACUUGGUGUGAAUUGCAGAAUCCCGUGAACCAUCGAGUCUUUGAACGCAAGUUGCGCCUCAAGCCAUUAGGUUGAGGGCACGUCUGCCUGGGCGUCACAUAUCGUUGCCUGAUGCCAGUUUCCUCGUGAUGGGUGACUGUGCAGGGCGAAUGAUGGCUUCCCGUGAGCAUUGUUGCCUCAUGGUUGGUUGAAAAUUGAGUCCUUGGUAGGGAGCGCCGUGAUAGAUGGUGGUUGAGUGACGAACGAGACCCAAUCAUGUGAGACCCCUACCGAAUUUGGCCUUCAUAACCCACAUGCGUCUUUGGAACGCUCAUGACGAGACCUCAGGUCAGGCGGGGCUACCCGCUGAGUUUAAGCAUAUCAAUAAGCGGAGGA